GAAGUUGGAGUCGCUAGUAAUCGCAGAUCAGCAACGCUGCGGUGAAUACGUUCCCGGGCCUUGUACACACCGCCCGUCACGUCAUGAAAGUCGGUAACACGCGAAGCCGGUGGCCUAACCCCUUGUGGGAGGGAGCCGUCGAAGGUGGGAUCGGCGAUUGGGACGAAGUCGUAACAAGGUAGCCGUACCGGAAGGUGCGGCUGGAUCACCUCCUUU
rnacentral:rRNA from 1 species